GAUGAACGCUGGCGGCGUGCUUAACACAUGCAAGUCGAACGGUGAAGGCGGAGCUUGCUCUGCUGGAUCAGUGGCGAACGGGUGAGUAACACGUGAGCAAUCUGCCCCUGACUCUGGGAUAAGCGCUGGAAACGGCGUCUAAUACUGGAUACGAGCUGCGAAGGCAUCUUCAGCAGCUGGAAAGAAUUUCGGUCAGGGAUGAGCUCGCGGCCUAUCAGCUUGUUGGUGAGGUAAUGGCUCACCAAGGCGUCGACGGGUAGCCGGCCUGAGAGGGUGACCGGCCACACUGGGGCUGAGACACGGCCCAGACUCCUACGGGAGGCAGCAGUGGGGAAUAUUGCACAAUGGGCGAAAGCCUGAUGCAGCAACGCCGCGUGAGGGACGACGGCCUUCGGGUUGUAAACCUCUUUUAGCAGGGAAGAAGCGAAAGUGACGGUACCUGCAGAAAAAGCGCCGGCUAACUACGUG
rnacentral:rRNA from 1 species